CAAUUAAUAGCUCAGACGGUAGAGCAUGAGACUCUUAAUCUCAGGGUCAUGGGUUUAUGUCCCACAUUGG
rnacentral:tRNA from 1 species